UACGGGGGAUGCGAGCGUUAUCCGGAUUUAUUGGGUUUAAAGGGCGCGUAGGCGGGACGUCAAGUCAGCGGUAAAAGACUGCAGCUAAACUGUAGCACGCCGUUGAAACUGGCGCCCUCGAGACGAGACGAGGGAGGCGGAACAAGUGAAGUAGCGGUGAAAUGCAUAGAUAUCACUUGGAACCCCGAUAGCGAAGGCAGCUUCCCAGGCUCGUUCUGACGCUGAUGCGCGAGAGCGUGGGUAGCGAACAGG
rnacentral:rRNA from 1 species